UACGAAGGGGGCGAGCGUUGUUCGGAAUUAUUGGGCGUAAAGGGCGCGUAGGCGGCCGAUCAAGUCAGAUGUGAAAGUCCUGGGCUUAACCUGGGGACUGCAUUUGAUACUGAUUGGCUUGAAUUCGGGAGAGGAUAGCGGAAUUCCCAGUGUAGAGGUGAAAUUCGUAGAUAUUGGGAAGAACACCGGUGGCGAAGGCGGCUAUCUGGACCGACAUUGACGCUGAGGCGCGAAAGCGUGGGGAGCAAACAGG
rnacentral:rRNA from 1 species